GGGUUGUGAGGUUAAGCGACUAAGCGUACACGGUGGAUGCCCUGGCAGUCAGAGGCGAUGAAGGGCGUGCUAAUCUGCGAUAAGCGCCGGUAAGGUGAUAUGAACCGUUAUAACCGGCGAUACCCGAAUGGGGAAACCCAGUGUGACUCGUCACACUAUCAUUAACUGAAUCCAUAGGUUAAUGAGGCGAACCGGGGGAACUGAAACAUCUAAGUACCCCGAGGAAAAGAAAUCAACCGAGAUUCCCCCAGUAGCGGCGAGCGAACGGGGAGGAGCCCAGAGCCUGAAUCAGCAUGUGUGUUAGUGGAAGCGUCUGGAAAGGCGCGCGAUACAGGGUGAUAGCCCCGUACACAAAAGCGCAUGUGUUGUGAGCUCGAUGAGUAGGGCGGGACACGUGGUAUCCUGUCUGAAUAUGGGGGGACCAUCCUCCAAGGCUAAAUACUCCUGACUGACCGAUAGUGAACCAGUACCGUGAGGGAAAGGCGAAAAGAACCCCGGCGAGGGGAGUGAAAAAGAACCUGAAACCGUGUACGUACAAGCAGUGGGAGCACAGGUUUACCUGUGUGACUGCGUACCUUUUGUAUAAUGGGUCAGCGACUUAUAUUCUGUAGCAAGGUUAACCGAAUAGGGGAGCCGGAGGGAAACCGAGUCUUAAU
rnacentral:rRNA from 1 species